CCCUUAGAUGUUCUGGGCUGCACGCGUGCAACACUGAUAUUGCCAAUAUGUCAUUCUUAUCCGAAAUGGAUUGGGUAAUCAAGUAAUGAAAUUUCAUGCUUGGAAUCGGUAAUUGCAAUUUUAUCGUGAACGAGGAAUUCCUAGUAAGCACUAGUCAUCAGCUAAUGUUGAUUAUGUCCCUGCCCUUUGUACACACCGCCCGUCGCUACUACUGAUUGGGUGUUCAAGUGAGAUGCUUAGACCCUUGUUGCAUGGUUCAUUAUUGUGCUCCGAAAGGAAAAAGUUUCAAGCUUGAGUGUCUAGAGGAAGUAAAAGUCGUAACA
rnacentral:rRNA from 1 species